UACGUAGGAUGCAAGCGUUGUCCGGAAUUAUUGGGCGUAAAGAGCUCGUAGGCGGUUUGUUGUGUCGGCUGUGAAAUCCCGAGGCUCAACCUCGGGUCUGCAGUCGAUACGAGCAAACUAGAGUGUUGCAGGGGAGACUGGAAUUCCUGGUGUAGCGGUGAAAUGCGCAGAUAUCGGGAGGAACACCAGUGGCGAAGGCGGCGAUCUGGGAAGAUACUGACGCUGAGGUGCGAAAGCGUGGGGAGCAAACAGG
rnacentral:rRNA from 1 species